rfam:Gossypium arboreum cultivar AKA8401 contig_22583_1, whole genome shotgun sequence.
UAUUAAAAUUCUCAUCAAUUUGUCCUGUUAAAAACUAACGCAUCUGAUGGAAUAACCAAACAUUACACAUGGCAUUCCACGUGUACCUCAAGUUGACGUAUAAGGAUUGAUUUUUAACAAAUAACAGUAGAAAUGGAUGAAAUUUUUAACU